rnacentral:lncRNA from 1 species
CAAAGAGUAUCAAUAAAACAUGUGAAGUCAAACUGAAAUUUUAACACCAAACAAUCGCUUCAAAUGCAAUAGAGAGGAUGAACGAUCCAAAUGGAAACACCUGACAUGGAAAGAGAAGAAGUAAUAAACUAAGAGGAAGCUGAAGGGAAAACACUAAGACGACUUUCUCUGACAAAGCCAUACCUGAAAUGGCUAUAAUCUCACAUAUCUAUGCCAAUAGCUUGCUUACAGUUCCCUAGCUUCAAUGGAGCACCUGUCCGUACUAGCAGUUCAGUACGUUCUAGAUCUGUUUCUUGAAAGCAAACCUUCUCAACUCUAUGGCACCAGCGUUCUAUGCAAACAACAUUUAUUAAUAGGAAAAGCCACGGAAACAGAAAAAAUGAAAUAAAAUAAAAGGGAAAUAAAGCAAGAAGGCCAAGACAACUUGCUCUACGAAAGAAUACCUUGAACCACCAUUCAAUUUUUUUUUUUUUAUGGAAUUACCUUUCUGGAGCUUCUAGCGAUGGUUGUACCACUUGGAGCACCUGUGAAACGGGCAUGGGCAAAAACACCUGAAAGGCUGAAACAGUUGAGAGACUCACAAUUCCAUGAAGCUGAAUCAACCAUGGAAAGAGAACAAGAAAACAGAAAAAGAAAAGGUAAAUAACAGAAAAGGAAAGUGAAGGGAGAAGGAAACUUUCUCUGGGAAAGCCAAACACCUGAAACAACUAUUUGUCUCUGUGAUGAUUUUUCUACUUGGAUUACCCAGCAGUAUACAUCCUAGACUUGAUUUCUUUUCUGAAUUCUGCGGGACCUACAAGAAAACAACAUACUCUAAAAGAAUCAUGUGUGAGUGAAACUUAAUUCAAUAUGAGAAGAAAAGAAAACCAAUGAGACAAGGCUAAUAUAAUUUUCUUUGAGAAAGUCAAAACUUGAGGCCAAUAGCUUCUAAAGUUGAUUAUCAUACUUAAAGCACCUUUUUCUUAACAUAGAUGUUUGUUCAUCCUACAACUGUUUUCUUCUUGACUCCUUGCUUAACAGUAUCAACCAUUGAUAUUUCUAAUUAUGAGGGGAUAUUCCUUUAAUUUCAUCCUAGCAGCUUUGAGAAACAUAAGAUUGACAAACUAAAAUACAGCCAUAAAUAACUAUAACAUAGUCUUUUCAUAAACAUCAAGAGCAAUGCCUAACCACUUGGGAAAUUUAUGAGUAUGGAUGCACUGAUAUCAUGUUUAAAGGGUCAGUAGUCUACGACCAAUUAAACACAUCAACUGAAUGUAUCUAAAAGGAACGAAGGGAAAAAAUACUCAAAACCCCGAAACCAAGAAUUGGCAUCAGAUUUCUCAUCUAUGUUUUCAAAAUCACAAAGACUCAUUCAUAGAAUAGACUAGUCUACCUGGUUUGCAGAGCAUUAAUAGCCUUACUAAGAACAAUUUAUUCUUUGGAAGUCAAUUAAGAAAUUAAACGCUGCCAAAUGCAUUCAAAGAGGAUUAUACAGUAUGAAACAUGGAAGAUAAAGGGAGGCAUACCUAAAAAUAAUAAUCCGGUCCUCUAGAUGCUCAUUGAUCAUUAGUUAGAUGCUUGCCUCCUUGAAGGCCUUGUAAAGGUUAUUGAUAAGUGCCAUUUUCUUUUUCGGUAUAUUAAGAUAAUAGAGGAAUGUGAUGUGAUAAAGGGGGUUACAUGAAGAUAGCAUUUGACAGCAUAAGGCUAACUUUGGCCCACCAACCUCUGUACGUCAAUUGCAAAAAGAGUAGUAGUGACCCUGAAACAUGAUUAACACGAGACAUAUUUUGCAAGUAAGAGAAAUUCAUCAAACUAAAGGUCAAUCAGAAAAGAAAGCACAUUGAAGAAUUAUGCAUAAUUGAAGAAGUAAAAGAAGUAAACAGCAAAAAUAACUAAUUCAAAGGAAAUGGGACAAUGAUUACAUGAUCCAUAAGUAGACAACUAGAAACUGAACUCAUCCCUCCUCAGGUUCUAGAUGGAGAGGAAGCCAACCACAUGGAUAUUACUAUUACGUAGAAAACUCAUAACUAGAUAAAAGACAAAGACUUUGGAAAUUAAAAGCAAAUGAAGAAAUCGCAUUUUUUUCUUCUCUCGACUAGUGAAUAAAAGGAUUUAACAUGCAUUGUGGUUCAAUCAAAUAUCUAAAACUCCAGGCGUAACAUAUAUAUACCUAUAGUAAGCACUUAAAAUGUGAAGGAAUUUCAAGAAAGUGAAACUGCUUACAACUUCUAUUUCAAGGCAACUUUUAAAAGAUAACCAUGUCCCCAUAUUCAAGUUGCAAAAGGCAAGGAGUGCUUUACAAAUCUUGGAGCUUUUACUGCAAAUAAUUCCAGCUGAAGAGGCAAUUUGAAAAAAGAAAGAUAGUGAAUUCCACCAGAAAAAGCAUGAUAGGACACACCUGACUACCAAGGAAAUUUAGCUUCUUGUCACGGUUUCACAUAUCACAUUGCAAAAGGCAAGGAAUGAUUUAUAACUCUGGAAAAUUUACACUGCAAAUAAAUCCAGCUGAAGAGGAAAUGUGAUAAAAGAUAGAAAGAAAUUGAACUCCACUUGAAAAAGUGUAAUAUGGCAUGCCUGACCGCCAUGGAAACCUAGCUUAUUGUACAUGUUUUCACAUUUCACAUAGGGUUCAAGCCAUAUCAUCCAUGUUGCUUGUUGCCAACUUCCUCGCUCUUCACAGUUUGAAGAGCUUCGUUCAAACGCCUUCCAUCUCUGCUAAAGCCCAUCCAAUGUCUUUCCAAAGAUUUUCUCAAUGUCCAUACAGUACUAGAACAUAUGAACUAGCACAGGAAUUCACAAUGUACAUUUUUUUAAUAGAAAGUCAUAAUGCCCAUGUCUAUCAUAAUGCUGCAGAAAGAAAGCGUUUCAGCAAUUUGGGAGGUGAAAAAUUAAAAAGCCCAAGAAAGGUUUAGCUAGUUAUGGAAGACAUGUGAGCAAACCUAAGCCCAAGUAGUAAGUUCUGAAGAGGGCUCUUUUUCGACACUGCAGCACCAAGCAUAUAAUGUUACUGUAUAACCCAAUUACAAAGUAACAAUUAAGCACAAAUCAAACCAACAGAGACCAUGACAUCGAGAAUGAGAUCGGAUAGAACAAGCACAUCUCCAUACAAAGUUUUAAGACAUCAAUACCACAAAGAACAGUAUCCCCAUUAAGUUGAUGUCAGUAGAGUCCAAAGAGUAUCAAUAAACAUGUGAAGUUAAAUUGAAAUUUUAACACCAAACAAUUGACGAUCCAAAUGGAAACACCUAAAAUGGAAAGAGAAGAAGUAAUAAACUAGGAGGAAACUGAAGGGCAAACACUAAGAUAACUUUUUCUGACAAAGCCAUACCUGAAAUGGCUAUAUCUCUCACAUAUCUAUGCCAAUAGCUUGGUCACAGUUCCUAGCUUCGAUGGAGCACCUGUCCGUACUAGCAGUUCAGUACAUUCUAGAUCUAUUUUCUUGAAAGCAAACCUUCUCAACUCUAUGGCACCGGUGUUCUAUGCAAACAACAUUUAUUAAUAGGAAAAGCCACGGAAACAGAAAAAAAGGAAAUAAAAUAAAAGGGAAAUAAAGGAAGAAGGCCAAGAUAACUUACUCUACGAAAGAAUACCUUGAACCACUAUUCAACUUUUUUUUUAUGGCAAUACCUUUCUGGAGCUUCUAGCGACGGUUGUACCACUUGGAGCACUUGUGAAACGGGACGGGCAUGGGCAAAAACACCUGAAAGGCUGAAACAGUUGAGAGAAUCACAAUUCCAUGAAGCUAAAUCAACCAUGGAAAGAGAACAAGAAAACAGAAAAAGAAAAGGUAAAUACUAGAAAAGGGAAGUGAAGGGAGAAGGAAACUUUCUCUGGGAAAGCCAAAAACCUAAAACAACUAUUUGUCUCUCUGAUGAUUUUUCUACUUGGAUCCCCCAGCAGUAUACAUCCUAGACUUGUUUUCUUCUCUAUAGCAAACUUUUCUGAAUUCUGCGGGACCUACAAGAAAACUACAUACACUAAUAGAAUUGUGUGCAAGUGAAAAAGCUUAAUCAAAUAUGGAAAGAUAAAAGUAAAUAAAAGAAAGGGAACAGAAGGGAGCUAUAUAUCUUACAUCACUACGCCAAUGGUUCAUAACUUCUAGCAAUGGUUUCCAUACUUUGAGCACCUGUCUUGACAUAGCAUUUUGUACAUACUAAAUUUGCCAUCUUUCUGACAGCAAAUUUUGUUGAACUCUGUAGCACGGAAAAAAGCCAUGCAAACAACAUAUAUUAAUAUGAAAAGCCAUGGAAACAGAAAAAAAAAUAAAAAAAAAUAAAAGAAAAUAAAGGAAGAAGGCCAAGACCAAUUUUUUUUUUAAAAAAACUUGUUCUGCAAAGAAUACCUUGAACCACUAUUCAACUUGUUUUUUUUAUGGCAAUAC